UGGGGAAUAUUGGACAAUGGGGGAAACCCUGAUCCAGCAAUGCCGCGUGAGGGAAGAAGGCCUUCGGGUUGUAAACCUCUGUCGGAGGGGACGAAACUAUUUAUGGCUAAUAUCCAUAGAUACUGACGGUACCCUCAAAGGAAGCACCGGCUAACUCCGUGCCAGCAGCCGCGGUAAUACGGAGGGUGCAAGCGUUGUUCGGAUUUACUGGGCGUAAAGCGUGUCUAGGCGGAUCUGCAAGUCAGAUGUUAAAGCCCCGGGCUCAACCCGGGAAUGUCGUUUGAAACUGCAGACCUUGAGUAUCGGGGAGGUGAGUGGAAUUCCCAGUGUAGAGGUGAAAUUUGUAGAGAUUGGGAGGAACACCGGAGGCGAAAGCGACUCACUAACCGAUUACUGACGCUCAAGCACGAAAGCGUGGGUAGCAAACAG
rnacentral:rRNA from 1 species